rnacentral:lncRNA from 1 species
AAACGGGGGGUAACCCCCCCUUAAGCGUAACCCAGGGUGUAGGGUUAGGGGUUACCCAUGUGGCUAUGUACGAAGGGAGGUGGGUAACCUAACCCCGGGGUAGGGGUAACCCCUUACCGAGGGGUAACAAAGGGGUUGGGGUAAUACACUACUGAUGGGUAACAGACAGGGUAACCUGCACCUGUCUCGCCUGUCUACACACGCAAACAUACAUGUCUUCACCAAUCACUUGUGAAUGCCCAAUUAUCAACAUUGACACACCAAAACAUGCCUUGUGUAGAAACCUAGACCUAAGGAUAAGGCACACAGCUGCAGCAUAGAUGCAAGGAGGAGGACGAAGAGGCGUACAUAGGCAGAGCAUAUUGGGGACCGCCGCCAGCGAGAAGCCGCCAGUGAAGCCAAUAAAUAUUCCUAUCAAAAGGUCCAGGCACUUACCGCCGCUCCGGACCCAAGACCUAAAACUCGCGGACCAGCCAACGGGCGGCAAUGUAAGCUUACAUUACCUUAAGGUCGGCCAGUAGCUUAAGUGCCCCGUCCCGACCUGCUACUUCCAGCUCUAGGCACGACCUAUGCAACACUAUCCAGAGUCUGCUCGUUUUCAGAGCAGGCUCUCCUAAGAGCGUCGAAGGUCUUGGGCGGGAGAUCCGACACCCCGAACACGGUCACACCCGGGCGAGUGUAAAGCACCAUCAGGUAAAAAUCCUUGGAUGUCACUGGAUGUCUUGCUAAAUGAGGUGCACCAUAAGUGUGGGCCUGUGCUGCAGAAAGACAGUCAAGGGUCUUGUUGUGGUGGUCCGCGCGCGCGAACGCUAGAACGCCACCAUUAAUGGCAAAAAUAUUUUUGCCGCCAUACGCACCAGUAUUGCAACGUGGAUUAUAUGUGUGCAUUGUAUCUAUGGUCAAUAGGAACAAUGCCAGCAGUGAAUAUGAUUGACUGAAUUCGUGAUAGUGGUCAUCGCUUAUUGUAGCAUGUCCGUCUAAUUAAAAGACCAGACUAUAUGAGCUUACAAGCUAAUUAGCUGUGAUUCAGCUUGAAUGUGCUUGUCAGGAGUAUCAAUGGAGGUAAAGCAGCAUGCACAUAUGCGUACGACCACCCCCGGCCGGUAAUAUGUCGGCCGACCUCAGGACUGAGUGCCUGAUGUUUCACAAUGACAACUAUUAUAUAACAUUGGAUGACAACCAAAGGCAUCCAUUUAGUGAAGACCUGUCGUCGACUUGCGUGUGUGCUGCCAGCAUUCGCCCCUUCUCCUGUACUCAUCUACAAGCCAAACAGGCCAAGACAUAGGUACUUAUUGCUUAUUCCUUGCGUGUGUGAUGCUAGCAUUAGAGACCUUAAGGUUGAAAUGGCAAACGAUGCUUCCCGAGAUACCACGAUACUGUAGGUUGCUAACGUUUACAUUUGUAAAGUAUCCUUAAGCGGAAUUUACGAUGUGGGAAGCAUAUAAGACGAGUAGCCUAUAGGCCCAUACAUAUGUCCAUAGUCCAGGGCAACGGAGAGGUUUACCCUGGGGCCGUGUUACCCCUCCCGCUGGGUAGGAACUUACAAGGGGGUUACCAAACAGCUACCGGGGGUUGAAGAUGGGUAACCCAUGGGUUACUGACCCAAUCAGUGCCUUAGGGCUAGUAGGGUUGCAAGUGUUGCGCU